rnacentral:rRNA from 1 species
UGGGGAAUAUUGGACAAUGGGGGCAACCCUGAUCCAGCAAUGCCGCGUGUGUGAAGAAGGUCUUCGGAUUGUAAAGCACUUUCGACGGGGACGAUGAUGACGGUACCCGUAGAAGAAGCCCCGGCUAACUUCGUGCCAGCAGCCGCGGUAAUACGAAGGGGGCUAGCGUUGCUCGGAAUGACUGGGCGUAAAGGGCGUGUAGGCGGUUUACACAGUCAGAUGUGAAAUCCCCGGGCUUAACCUGGGAGCUGCAUUUGAUACGUGUAGACUAGAGUGUGAGAGAGGGUUGUGGAAUUCCCAGUGUAGAGGUGAAAUUCGUAGAUAUUGGGAAGAACACCGGUGGCGAAGGCGGCAACCUGGCUCAUGACUGACGCUGAGGCGCGAAAGCGUGGGGAGCAAACAGGUUAGAUACCCUGGUAGUCCACGCUGUAAACGAUGUGUGCUAGAUGUUGGGUA